rnacentral:rRNA from 1 species
GACGAACGCUGGCGGCGUGCUUAACACAUGCAGGUCGAACGAAGAGCGAUGGAAGCUUGCUUCUAUCAAUCUUAGUGGCGAACGGGUGAGUAACGCGUAAUCAACCUGCCCUUCAGAGGGGGACAACAGUUGGAAACGACUGCUAAUACCGCAUACGAUCCAAUCUCGGCAUCGGGACUGGAUGAAAGGUGGCCUCUAUUUAUAAGCUAUCACUGAAGGAGGGGAUUGCGUCUGAUUAGCUAGUUGGAGGGGUAACGGCCCACCAAGGCAAUGAUCAGUAGCCGGUCUGAGAGGAUGAACGGCCACAUUGGGACUGAGACACGGCCCAGACUCCUACGGGAGGCAGCAGUGGGGAAUCUUCCGCAAUGGACGAAAGUCUGACGGAGCAACGCCGCGUGAGUGAUGACGGCCUUCGGGUUGUAAAGCUCUGUUAAUCGGGACGAAUGGUUCUUGUGCGAAUAGUGCGAGGAUUUGACGGUACCGGAAGAGAAAGCCACGGCUAACUACGUG